rnacentral:rRNA from 1 species
AGCAGCCGCCGCGGUAAUACGAAGGGGGCUGGCAUUGUUCGGAUUUACCGGGCGUAAAGGGCGCGUAGGCGGACUGAUAAGUCAGGGGUGAAAUCCCAAGGCUCAACCUUGGAACUGCCUUUGAUACUGUUUGUCUUGAGUUCGAGAGAGGUAAGUGGGACUGCGAGUGUAGAGGUGAAAUUCGUAGAUAUUCGCAAGAACACCAGUGGCGAAGGCGGCUUACUGGCUCGAAACUGACGCUGAGGCGCGAAAGCGUGGGGAGCAAACAGGAUUAGAUACCCGCGUAGUCCCUGUCUCUUAUAC